AAAAUGGAUAAAAUACUAUAUAUGGAAGAAACUCCAGCUCCUGAAAUAAAUGCUACUGGACUGAUGCUACCCACUGGUACUUCACAGGGUACUGCUGCAGCAAUAAUUGAAGUCUUUAGAAGCGAAUGUUUGGCAGCAGCUACAGUCUCAUGGUUGGCCUCCCCUGGUGUGUAACCUGACAAGGCCUUCUUCAACAACCAAUGAAAUGACAAUAACAACAACAAAAAUAG